CUCCCUCAAAACUUAGGUGUCGUGAAACACACCUUUUCACACACAAACACAUAGUUAUCCCUUAUAGAAUAGCAUAUCUCUCUCUGUCCUCUUCGGUCCAGCUCCAAUCCACUCUCCGGCUCCGAUCAGGACGUAUAUACUCGUCUAUCUCCUAUCUCCUUUCUCCCUUAUUCAUCUUUCACCAGAAAAGUUAAGGCCUAGGGCUUGAAGCACAUCUAAGCUCAAGAAGUUAAUUGCAGUGGAAGAGCUUCUCAUUCCAUCAAGGGCUAAGGGAUUCUCGAGUCUUCGUAAUUGUUUCAGCAAGGGAAAAGUAGACCGAGAGAUUAUGGCACGAUAGCACAUCUGAUUGGCCUGUACAUACUUAUUUUGAACUAAAACUCUAGUGGCAUAUACUUAAACUUUUUGAAGGAGAAAUCUUUUUGUUGGGUAGCGUAACAACACUAGUCAUCGUGCGUGUAUAGAGCUAUAGCUGGUGACUAACGUUGUUUCAUUUAAAAAAGAAAAAAAAACAUGAUAUUUUAUGAUACUUUACUUUAGGAGGGAAAAGUUCGAGAGCUGUUUUAAUUGUCGCUCCUAAGUAUUUUUUUUCUGUAAUUUCUCGUUUGUGUGUUUUAAAGUUCUAAUAAUUAUGUUAAAGUAAGUUUGUUUUUUUUUUCUCUUUUGUGAAGUGUUUUAAUUAUGUUAACCGUAUUUUCUGAGUCGGGUUUGAGCGUUACAUUACAGGUUAUGACUUCAAUCUUAGUACUAAGCGGACUGAAGUAUUUGAUUAACUCAAAGGCAUCCUGGGCCUAACCAUGAAACAACAAUUAUAUAUAUCAAAGAAACUAGUCAAGGAGCCGGAGCUUAUGGAUCUCUUUCGGGGAUUCCCAGAGAUUGCUCAUGGGGCAUUUGUCUUUGACCUUCUGGAAAUUGAUGGGAUGCUUUAGGCAAAGAAGGCAUGAUGGUAUCGUUCUCCGGGUAUUUUAUUUUGGAUAACUAGAUGAGAGUUUUUUUGUCAUUGAUACUACUGAAGAGUUGUCGAAGCAUUUAUACAUGGUGAUGGUAUAUGUUUGGCCACAACUCUUUUCUUUUGUAGAAUUUUUUGUAUCUAUUAAAACCACUCGAACCUUAUGUAUUA